CAAACUUGAGAGUUUGAUCCUGGCUCAGGACGAACGCUGGCGGCAGGCCUAACACAUGCAAGUCGAACGAGAAACCAGAGCUUGCUCUGGUGGACAGUGGCAAACGGGUGAGUAACGCGUGGGAAUAUACCCAGUAGUACGGAAUAGCCU
rnacentral:rRNA from 1 species